GGGGAAUAACUGUUGGAAACGACAGCUAAUACCGCAUAAUAUUGCUGGAUAAUUUCCAGUAAUGAAAGGAGCUUUCAAGCUCCGCUGAUUGAUGAGGAUGCGGCGCAUUAGCUAGUUGGUAGGGUAAUGGCCUACCAAGGCAAUGAUGCGUAGCCGAUCUGAGAGGAUGAACGGCCACAUUGGGACUGAGACACGGCCCAAACUUCUACGGAAGGCAGCAGUAGGGAAUUUUUCACAAUGGGCGAAAGCCUGAUGGAGCAAUGCCGCGUGACUGAUGAAGGUCUUCGGAUUGUAAAGGUCUGUUGUAAGGGAAGAAAUGGUAAAACAGGAAAUGGUUUUAUCUAUGACGGUACCUUACCAGAAAGCCACGGCUAACUAUGUGCCAGCAGCCGCGGUAAUACAUAGGUGGCAAGCGUUAUCCGGAUUUAUUGGGCGUAAAGGGUGCGUAGACGGUUUUGCAAGUCUGAGGUUAAAUUUAGGAGCUCAACUCCUAAUCGCCUUGGAAACUACNAGACUAGAGUAUAGGAGAGGUUAGUGGAAUUCCNUGUGUAGCGGUGGAAUGUGUAGAUAUAUGGAGGNACACCAGUGGCGA
rnacentral:rRNA from 1 species